GGCCUUGUGGCGUAAUAGGUAAGGCGUCGGACUUCAGAUCCGAAGACUGCAAGUUCGAGUCCUACUAGGGUGG
rnacentral:tRNA from 1 species